rnacentral:rRNA from 1 species
UACAGAGGUCUCAAGCGUUGUUCGGAUUCAUUGGGCGUAAAGGGUGCGUAGGUGGCGUCGUAAGUCGGAUGUGAAAUCUCGGAGCUUAACUUCGAAACUGCAUUCGAUACUGCCGUGCUUGAGGACUGGAGAGGAGACUGGAAUUUACGGUGUAGCGGUGAAAUGCGUAGAUAUCGUAAGGAAGACCAGUGGCGAAGGCGGGUCUCUGGACAGUUCCUGACACUGAGACACGAAGGCCAGGGGAGCAAACGGG